rnacentral:rRNA from 1 species
GCCAGACUCCUACGGGAGGCAGCAGUGAGGAAUAUUGGUCAAUGGCCGGGAGGCUGAACCAGCCAAGUCGCGUGAGGGAGGACGGCCCUACGGGUUGUAAACCUCUUUUGCCGGGGAGCAACGGGCGUCACGUGUGGCGCCACUGAGAGUACCCGGAGAAAAAGCAUCGGCUAACUCCGUGCCAGCAGCCGCGGUAAUACGGAGGAUGCGAGCGUUAUCCGGAUUUAUUGGGUUUAAAGGGUGCGUAGGCGGAUUUUUAAGUCAGCGGUAAAAUGUCCGGGCUCAACCCGGGCCGGCCGUUGAAACUGGGGAUCUUGAGUGGGCGAGAAGUAUGCGGAAUGCGUGGUGCAGCGGUGAAAUGCAUAGAUAUCACGCAGAACUCCGAUUGCGAAGGCAGCAUACCGGCGCCCGACUGACGCUGAGGCACGAAAGCGUGGGGAUCGAACAGGAUUAGAUACCCCAGUAA